AUUGAUAACUUAUUUGUAUUUGUUAAUUAAGGGUCGACACUUAAUUGGCAUGCAUAAAUCCGUUGCUAGAAUGUAAGGAAGUUUCACAUAAUCGUUACAAACUUAUAUUCACAUGUAGUGAAGGUCGCUUAUAAACGAUCGCGUUAAGUUCAAUUCUAGCAUGAGUGACAUGAUGUCAUAGUUGUAAGUGCUUUGUCAAUGCUUAUGAUUUUCAUUAAACGUAAUGAUCUUUUAUUGUAUCUCUAUUAUGAUGUCAUGUAGGGAACUUUAGAAGAAUGUUUUGGGUUGUCGAAUGAUGUCAUCCAAUCCAAUAAAAUAAGGAAAAUCUGAGAGUUAACUAGUGAUGUCACGGUUAAUUUGAAGCAUUGUCGUUCAUAAUUCAAUGAAGUAGUAACUGGAAAUCGAAUUAUUUGCAUACAUGUCAUGUGUGGAGAAAAAGCCUCUAGCUAUCCCAUCCAUCAUCUUAUUUCUCAAAUUUGUUUUACAAUCUGUCUAAUUUUUCAUACUUGUUUGUUUGUUUCAACUUCGUCCAAAACUCAAUCCCCCUUUACUUUAUUGUGUCUAAUUAGUUAGAAUCUGUUUUAAUUUGUGUUUUUAAAUGUUUUGAUUCAAGUAAAAGUCAAUUUUCGU
rnacentral:lncRNA from 1 species